rnacentral:rRNA from 1 species
UACGUAGGGUGCAAGCGUUAAUCGGACUUACUGGGCGUAACGCGUGCGCAGGCGGUUUUGUAAGUCUGUCGGGAAAUCCCCGGGCUUAACCUGGGAAUUGCGAUGGAGACUGCAAGGCUGGAGUCUGGCAGAGGGGGGUAGAAUUCCACGUGUAGCAGUGAAAUGCGUAGAGAUGUGGAGGAACACUGAUGGCGAAGGCAGCCCCCUGGGUCAAGACUGACGCUCAUGCACGAAAGCGUGGGGAGCAAACAGG